rnacentral:misc_RNA from 1 species
AUGUCUUCGCAGUUUCAAUUUCAGAUGAGUUUCGAGCGAUUUCUCGUUUUUGGCUCGGUUAUCUCCUGGAUUCUGCUCACGUAUUGCUCAAGAUUUUGGAUUGAAUCAGUGGAAGGAUAUUUAGUUGGUAACCGCCGUCGAGUCAUUGCCGUGUUCCGCAUUGAAUGCAUUUUAACUCUGUUAAAUGUGUUUGCAUACGGCCAGCUGAUGAGAUGGUUCGACGAUGACAUUGUCAAGGAGAAAUCGUUGGAUCGCCGAAAAAUGCAGAACGCUGCAAUACAAACGUUAACCAGAACAAUUUUUGAUCAAUACGUGAGAGAAAUCAAUAAUAUUCGGAAGAUGGAGGAAAACAGAAAAAACCCAAAUUUGAAGACGCGCCGUGCGUUGCGAGACCCAUCAAUGACGAUAAACAACGCGAGAGGUGUCAAGGCGGAGUGUUGUUGCUGAACAAAAUUUUCUUUUUUUUUCGUUCGACACUGAAAUUUCAACAAAUUGCAAUAUUCUUGUUGGAAAAAACAAUCCGGAAACGAUGCUCGGAUGGCCUUAUUAUUUUCCUAGUUCUCGGACAAGCGAUUUAUUUUAUGUAUUAUGCCCCAGCAUUUCUCCAGUGGCUUCUCUUCGAUCUCACCUCAAUCUGCGCGGGAAUAUGGACUAACAUGAUUGCAUUCGUAUGUGGAUUUGGGAUUGUUAAUUUCUAUGCUGGAAAAAUGAAGAUGUUCCAUUACACCGCUUCGAUUUUGGAAAUAAUAGGAAAGGUUCCUUAUUUUAACGAUCUCAUGUGGAAAAGAAGAUCUCAAAUAAAAUUCACAAUGAUAAUCACCUUGCUUCUGUCAGUCAGUAUGUUUAUAUCACGCGAUUGGAUUGUUGUCAAAGAAAAGACCAUCAAAAUAAAAAACUUCACUGCUGAUGGAAAUCGAUUAAAAUUGGCAGUGAUCUCUGAUUUGCACGCUGGUGCAAGUGUUUAUUCGGAACAAAUCAAUCAAGUUGUCGAAAAAGUGCUUGAAAAUCCAGUUGAUGCUAUUCUGAUUGUUGGAGAUAUGGUAGAUGCUCCUGUUGCGGAAAUCGAGGAUAGAGUUCGACCAAUUCUUCAACUCCCUGCUCACGCACCUACUUAUUUCGUAACUGGCAAUCAUGAAUAUUAUUAUGGAGACGUUCAGGAAUGGAUAAGAUUCUACAAAAAUGGCCGUAUUAAUGUUCUUGAAAACGAAAGUACAAUGCUGAAAGGAGUCUGUUUGGCUGGAGUAAACGAUAUUUCAAGUCCGAAAUCUGGAAUCUUGAACACUAAAAUGGAUCUACCAAAAGCCAUCCAUCGAUGUCCAUCAAAUACUUCUCAAAUCGUCAUGGCACACAAUCCGGCAUCAAUUCGAGAAUUCAUCGUAGAUCAUCCGAAAGAAUUAUCAGAAAUUGAUAUUGUCUUAUCUGGACACACUCAUGCAGGACAAUUCUACGUAGUUAUUCCAGUAGUUUAUUGGCUUCUACCAUACUUUUAUGGACUCUAUGAGAUUCCAUUUGGAGGUCAAUUGAUGGUAAUGGCAGGAUCAUUGUAUCAAGGACCACCCAUGAAAAUGAUUGGAAUGAGCGAAGUUUGGGUGUUGGAAUUACUGGGAGAAUAA